rnacentral:misc_RNA from 1 species
UUGAAUUUUAAUGAAGAGUUUGGUUGUAGCUGGCCCAUUCAUUUGGGCAUGUGCACACCUUCCUCUUUCAUCCCACACACACCUGUGAACCUGUGAGACAGAGAUGGGGAAUUUACUUGCUGCUUUUUGGAAUACAAAGGCAAUAGGUUAUUGGACCCCCCCUCUGUCUACUCAAUUAAUAUAAACCCAAUUUAUUUUAAAACGAAUGUAAUGGAUGUAACACAUCUCAUAC